AGGAUGAACGCUGGCGGCGUGCUUAACACAUGCAAGUCGAACGAUGAAGCCGGAGCUUGCUCUGGUGGAUUAGUGGCGAACGGGUGAGUAACACGUGAGUAACCUGCCCUUGACUCUGGGAUAAGCGUUGGAAACGACGUCUAAUACCGGAUACGACGCGCGAAGGCAUCUUCUGCGCGUGGAAACGAAUUUCGGUCAAGGAUGGACUCGCGGCCUAUCAGCUAGUUGGUGAGGUAACGGCCCACCAAGGCGACGACGGGUAGCCGGCCUGAGAGGGUGACCGGCCACACUGGGACUGAGACACGGCCCAGACUCCUACGGGAGGCAGCAGUGGGAAUAUUGCACAAUGGGCGCAAGCCUGAUGCAGCAACGCCGCGUGAGGGACGACGCCUUCGGUGUAACUCUUUAGUAGGAGAAGACGAAGUGACGGUACGUGACGAGAAAAGCGACCGGACUAACUACG
rnacentral:rRNA from 1 species